AUGUCCAAAGGUGUACCCCCCUCCAGGAGGCACAGCAAUCAGCAGCAAACCAGAGAGGCCUCUCAUGCUGUGGAAAAGGCUGUGGAAAUUGCACCUGGCUACAAGUUCAUACGGGCUAAAGACCAUCUCUCUGUAAUCCUAGAGGAUAAAUUUUUUGACAGAAGAUUAUCAUCUGUGGAUGAACAAGUUUCACCUAUUACUCUCUGUGCCCCAGCAAAGAAUGAGAACCUAAUAGCUAUAGAUUCUGGGGUCAGAGUCAAAAAAAGUGUAUCCUUUACUCCUGCUCCCUUUUUUAUUGAUACAGUCUGUGUUGUCUUUUUUUCUUUCUUUAGGCACCUAGUUUAA
rnacentral:lncRNA from 1 species